CGCAGGCGGAGAGGGAGAGCUUCGGCCCCGCAAACCACCGGGUGAUCGGGGGUCUCGGGAGGCGUGGGGGCGGUCCCACAAUGGGCACCGCGGCUUUUCCCCGGCUGGCUGUUCAUGCGGGCUGCGCCUUCCUGCCUCCUGACGCCGAGGUCGUAAGGUCCUGCCCAAGCACAGUCUCGGGACCCUCGCCUAUGGUAAAGAGUACCGGGAAAACUAGGGGUUUGGGGUACUUGGACAUUUGCAAAAGCCGAAGAAAUCCAGGCGGCCCCUGCGACCCUGAUUUCCACCCGGGAGGAAGGACACCAGGAAGCGCGGAGCGCGAGAUGGGGCGCCCUCCGGCGGCUCUGUUAGGUCGCCGGGCUUCUCCGCUUUCCUCCUGCACAAUGGAAGGGUUCAGUCCGGCUUGAUCUCUGCGACAGGAAUUCCAGGUGUGAGGCACCGCAACAGGUAACCUGAAAGAGGCCUUGCUGGUGACAUUACUGACCAAAUGGAAAAAGAUACUUCUAAGCUCCUUGAACGGCUCAGCCAGGGCGAUUUCUGUUCCCAGCUAACAUCAAGUGUCCUUUGGAAAUAAUAAAGGAACUUGGUAACAAGAAGAGAGCAAGUGUAUUUGCAUAGGAUUGCCAUAUAGAGCAAUGAAAUAGAACUGAGAAUCCAGAAAUAAACUCUCACAGUCAAUUGAAUUACGAGAGUGAGGAAACAAUUCAAUGAGGAAAGAACAGACUUUUCAACAAAUUGAUAUCCACAUGCAAAAGAAUGAACUUGGACCUAUAAUUAACUCAAAUGGAUCAAAGACCUAAAUGACUCUUCCUGUGGCUUGUUGCUUGGGAGCAGCUCUGCCCAGUGACCGUUUACACUCUUCCCACCCUCCAGUGCUGCCUGUGGAUAGCCCUUCUCUGAACUGAGCUGCUGAACGUUCCAGACUGCUUCUGGGAGAAAUGUGCUGUGAAGAGUGGAGAAAGAGUAGGACAAACCACAUUUGAAGUAUAGCUGUCAAAGGCCAUCAAUCCAUUCCCCAGGCGUGCCUCUGGUGUGGGACUUGCUGGCUGCUUCACGUGAGCAUCUGCCUCAUGGACUGGAGUUCCUUCAGGUCAGAGUCUGUGUCCUUUCAUUUCCAUGUCCUCAGGCGCCAGCUUCCAGGCUCAAGGCCUGGGUAUUCGAGGCACGUAGUAGAUGAUCAACAAAUGAUUUGCAAACAAAAUGUUGGUUGAGUUUCUAGAAGGGGAUGCAG